rnacentral:lncRNA from 1 species
AGAACACUCCGCUGCCUCUCCAGAGCCAGGCACACAGCAGGCGCUCCAUAAAUGUUCGUUGGAUGAUCCUCAGCGACGUUAGGGUCUCUUGCCACAUGGAGGGAAGCUCGGCCCUCCUCCUCGGGCUGAAGGUCUCUCUCCCUGAGAAGGCGGAAGCUGAGGAGCAGCUGCCAGGCAGAGGCCACUGGGGAACAACAACAAUGACUAAUCACACUGGCCAGCGGGUGGACAGCGCUCACUGCAAGCCAAGCCCUCCUUCAUACUCACAAAAGCCCAUUUUGCAGUCUUUUCUCCUUGCUCAGCUUCAAUGUGUUCCGGAGUGGGGACGGGGUGGCUGAACCUCGCAGGUGGCAGAGAGGCUCCCCUGGGGCUGUGGGGCUCUACGUGGAUCCGAUGGAGCCGCUGGUGACCUGGGUGGUCCCCCUCCUCUUCCUCUUCCUGCUGUCCAGGCAGGGCGCUGCCUGCAGAACCAGUGAGUGCUGUUUUCAGGACCCGCCAUAUCCGGAUGCAGACUCAGGCUCGGCCUCGGGCCCUAGGGACCUGAGAUGCUAUCGGAUAUCCAGUGAUCGUUACGAGUGCUCCUGGCAGUAUGAGG